rnacentral:SRP_RNA from 1 species
CUGGACACGGAGCAGCUGAUCUUCGGCUCCACGGUGCUGCAGAAGGAUAACUGGCCGGACCUCCUCGACGAGAGCAUCAAGGGC